rnacentral:tRNA from 1 species
ACCUGGCUGGCUCAGUUGGAAGAGCAUGAGACUCUUGGUCUUGGGGUCAUGAGUUCGAGCCCCAUGUUGGUUA